CGGUGUUUGGGAAGGAGCCAUCUGCAUGUCUGACGUCAGGUUGCUGAUCACACUGUUCCUGCUUAAUCAGUCACACCCAUUCACUGUAGAGUUUGCUGACAUGUCAAUUGCUAUUUCUUAAGAAGGACAAUGAGAAAUCAGGGCUGAAACAAGCGUACGCCACUUCCCACGCAAAGCCCAGAAGAUAAUGCUCCUCACAGAAAACCAGGGCGUGGUGAUGAGGAGGAGAAGCAGAUGCAUUAGCCCAGAAAGAAAGCAAGAUCACACCGAACUCAUCAUCAUCAAAACCCAAUGCUCAAUCUUCCACCUGCUCUCAGAGUCACUGGCAACAGAUCAGACGUCUCAUGCUCUUUACUGCUGCAGGAGUUUCAGAUAGCUCCAAAGAUUUUCUUUACAACCAAUAUGACAACAGGCAGGCCAGCCUGUUAAAGAAAGGAUUUAAGGUGCUUUUUUAAUCAAAUCUUAACUCACAGGAUUUCACAAUUCAUUAUGUUAUGUCCUAUACACAGGUCUAACAAUGAAUAAUAAAUGAUAAACUGCAGAUGUUCCCACUUAUUAUCCCAGAAGCAGCAGGUCGUCCUGCAAACUGGGCCCCCAGGAUAAAAGAAGACAGACUUUUCCUGCAGUGACAGACUGGUACAUGAAUGUCAGUUUUUAAAUGGACUAACUCCAACAAUACUGUACAUAAUAUAUUUGCUAUUUUAAUAUCAGAACUUGGCCACAAGGGGGUACUUUAGUUUCAUUUCAUUUUAACAAAUGGCAAAACUGUAUGUUUCAAAUUUAAACAUAUGAACUUUUCUUGGGUUGGAAACCUGGUCCAUUCAACAUGCCAACCUUUAACCCUGUAAACUAAUCUUUAUUCUGAUUGGUUAAGUAAGGCUCCAAAAGGUAUGCAUUGUUUUUCUAAAAAACACACACCUAACCUGUCAAACGUCUUAAAAUAACAACUGCUUUGAGUCGUGCUGCAUUACUACCUUAGGUGUGCAUUAUUUUUGAAUAAUUCAACAGCCCUUACAAUCCAUUUGAGCCUCCAUUGCAUCCACCAUACAGGAAGUCAAUGCUGCAGUGGGAUUCUCCGGCUGUGAGAUUUUAUGUGAUGUCUCAAAGUCUGUGUUUAAACUCCCCCAUAGGUUCACAUGACUGAAAACUAUCAAUACAGUAUAGGUCUUUGUUGUCUCUCAUGUGAUAUUUUUACUUUGUCUUUCUUUGUCUAUGAUUCUUUUCAUAGAGAUACAACCAAGACUGUUUAAAUGAAUAAACUAAACUAGCCUAAAGUUUAUUGACCAAGAAAAGCUCAUCAAGGAAAAGUAUACAGUAUUUAAAAACAACUUAAAGAGAGCUGCAGGGAUGCCAGAUUUUUGUAGGCCAACCCAAGAAGUUAGCCUCACCUGGGAUCCUUCAGUGGGAUUUUUAUUAUAGGCCUUGGAUUAUAACAAAAAUAAGCUCUGCAUGUGAUAAACAAAAGGUUAUGCUAUUUACAUGUUUUCCCAUCAAGAUAAUCUUAGCAAUGAAUACAACUUUUAU